rnacentral:tRNA from 3 species
CUCCAUGUAGCUCAGCUGGAUAGAGCAAGAAUCUUCUAAGUUCUAGGUCGGGUGUUCAAAUCACUCCAUGGAGG